GAGAGAUGGUCGAGUGGUUUAAGGCAGCGGUCUUGAAAACCGCCGUGGGGUUUCCUCACCGAGGGUUCGAAUCCCUCUCUCUCC
rnacentral:tRNA from 1 species